GCCGGUGUGGUGUAGUGGCAACACGCGACCUUCCCAAGGUCGAAUUGCGGGUCCGAUUCCCGUCACCGGCUCCA
rnacentral:tRNA from 1 species